rnacentral:rRNA from 1 species
GAUGAGUUCUCCCUGACUCCUUGAGAGUCCUGAAGGAACGUUGAAGACGACGACGUUGAUAGGCCGGGUGUGUAAGCGCAGCGAUGCGUUGAGCUAACCGGUACUAAUGAACCGUGAGGCUUAACCUUACAACGCCGAAG